rnacentral:sRNA from 1 species
GGGGAGUGGGAAUGAUUUAUAAAGGGAAGGCGAGAGGCUCUGGGUGUUGGCCUUAGGAAGGAGAGAAGAUGAGAUGGAUUUCAUGAGCUUCCAGGACCACACUUGAUGUUCCCCGGUGGAUCUGCCAGUUGGAGGCAGAGACAUAAAAACAAGGAAGGUUAAUUAAUCAAGUCUUUAGCAUACAAAGUAAGGGUUUAGUCGUGGCACCUCCAUACACAUCGCUCCGGACUCUGCUGCAUUGGGCUGAGAAGCUGACGGGGAUGCCAGGAACCACUUGUGAAUUUUGUCCAUUUCCCAUGGUGCUCCAAGUCUCAAGUGAAGAGCACAGAAAACACUUCUCCCACUCUGCUCUUUAGCAGAAAAUACUUAACAAAAACUGAAAACAAACCAAAGCAAAACACGGUACCAUGCAGGAAGAACUUCAGUGAGCAGGGGGAGCUUCCGGAAGAUAGCCUACCGUUCGGCACAGCUGAGAGGGAUGUACCUCAAAGAGGCACAGCCUGGGGACGGGAGAGUUCAUCUCUGGAUUGCUUCCUGUUGCCACUGUGCCUUCUCAUGUUUGUCAUUGCUGUCUUCUUCCUGAAUAUUGACUGCAUGGUGUGAAUGGGCAUGGGGUGACCCUCACUGUCUACAGUUCACUGUGAUUUCUUCAUGGGAGACAGCCCCGCUCUACUGGGCAACUUCCCUGCAGGUCAAUGAAGAUGAACUUUCAUAGAAUGGUGCUGUUUGGGGUUGGGGAUUUAGCUCAGUGGUAGAACGCUUGCCUAGCAAGCACAAGGCCCUGGGUUUGGUCCCCAGCUCCGAAAAAAAAGAAAAGAAAAAAAAUGGUGCUGUUUAAAUGAAUUGAUGAUUUUACAAAAUUCCAGAUUUGAUUUAAAUAGUCUUAGGAAGUUAGGACAAUGAAUAAGAGAGAUUAAGGAGAUAGUUUGGGGUGUCUUGCCAGCUGCUUUGUAGCAGAAAACCUAUGGCACAUAUAAAAUUAGGAAACACUUUCUUCGUUAUUAUGAAAUGUUUGCUAAGAUCAAAGAACAAGAACGGAGCGAGCCUGAUUACUAAGGUUCACAAGUUUCACCCACAGGAGACAACUAAUAAUCAAAGACAGUAACUGAGGUUCAGUCCCCACUGUUAAGAUUGGGCUUCUGUGUCUGUUGUAAAAUCUAAUUUUCUGGUCUUAUAACUAUACAUUCACCGAUGAGUUUUUGCUGUGCACCUUGGGGACUUGGUGCUGUGCAGCGUGCAGACUGAAUAGAUUCUCCUUUUUCUGUCAUGUCAAGAAGAGUAAAAAAAAAAAACAAAUCUCUGGCCUCCAGUUCUCUAGUUAGCUGUGCAUUUACUUUUCUAUGAAAACAAUAUAAGGAUAGGUACUCGGUUACCUAUGUCAGACAAAUAAGAAUUGUGUUGAGUUAGAAUGUUGGUUUACUCAAAUUCUGUUCAUCUGUAAUAGAAAAGCGAUUACUUUAGGACGUAGACGAGCUAUGGGAAGGAACCACAUGAGAAGCUGAGUGAUCAGAUGUGGGAUUUAGAAAAAAUUGUUUUUUAAAUAAAUAGGAAAUUUGUAACCAUUUGUGUAAUUAAAAUUCAUGAUUAAGAA